ACCCCUCAAAUUGUGUUCACGCUUUUCCUGAAGGUCUUGAUUUAGGAUGAGGUGCAGUUUCCAGGGUGUCUCCGGUGUCGGUAAGCGCUAAGUGGCUUCCUGGAAGGACCAUUGCAGACCAGUGGCCUGGGCUUGAAGUUUUUCCCUUCAAGCGAACAGAAGGUCUGGAUGAAGAACUACAACAUCAAGAUGAUUCUGUGCAGAAUGGUUAAGGGCAUGAAAAGCUGCAACCUCGUGAACAAGGGGAACUAACCCAUGGAACUCAUGGGUUUGCACUGAGGAAGCUGGGGUACAACUGGAGAAGGAGGACUCUAAGGAUGAAUCUGUGAUAGGAGCUGAGCAAAAAUAAGAUUUCACUUCUCUUUCUGUUACUUUUAAAGUAUCAAAUGAUCAAGAAUGGUUGUAAAGUGGACAAGAUUGUUACUGUGGUUACAGAUAAAAGUGAUUCUAGUCUAUCCAUGUAAUCAAUACUAACUGAAGUAAUGCUAAGAACAUUCAUGUUUGUUGAAAAUAUUGUACCUGUAAUAUCACCAUUGAGUAGGGUAUCUGUUGUCAAGUGAGUUUCAGUGUCUAAACUCUUGAAGGAAUGGAGCUGGAGUUCUGGCUGAGGAAGAUGAGUGUUGAAGGAAUUUGUGGCUGAAAUUGGUGCCACAUUUGCUAGAUGGGCUGCCUGAUAAAUUUGUGAGUCCUAUUUUAGUUAGAUCAGCUGUUUAAUGGGUAAUUUGUAUAUUGUUCACUCAUUAACUCAUGAUAAAUUUAUGUUGAUUUUGACUUGAUUAUUAAAGUUGAAACUAUAAAAAUUUAAA